GUUGAAGGUUGGGUAACACUAACUGGAGGACCGAACCGACUAAUGUUGAAAAAUUAGCGGAUGACUUGUGGCUGGGGGUGAAAGGCCAAUCAAACCGGGAGAUAGCUGGUUCUCCCCGAAAGCUAUUUAGGUAGCGCCUCGUGAAUUCAUCUCCGGGGGUAGAGCACUGUUUCGGCAAGGGGGUCAUCCCGACUUACCAACCCGAUGCAAACUGCGAAUACCGGAGAAUGUUAUCACGGGAGACACACGGCGGGUGCUAACGUCCGUCGUGAAGAGGGAAACAACCCAGACCGCCAGCUAAGGUCCCAAAGUCAUGGUUAAGUGGGAAACGAUGUGGGAAGGCCCAGACAGCCAGGAUGUUGGCUUAGAAGCAGCCAUCAUUUAAAGAAAGCGUAAUAGCUCACUGGUCGAGUCGGCCUGCGCGGAAGAUGUAACGGGGCUAAACCAUGCACCGAAGCUGCGGCAGCGACGCUGAUGCGUUGUUGGGUAGGGGAGCGUUCUGUAAGCCUGUGAAGGUGUGCUGUGAGGCAUGCUGGAGGUAUCAGAAGUGCGAAUGCUGACAUAAGUAACGAUAAAGCGGGUGAAAAGCCCGCUCGCCGGAAGACCAAGGGUUCCUGUCCAACGUUAAUCGGGGCAGGGUGAGUCGACCCCUAAGGCGAGGCCGAAAGGCGUAGUCGAUGGGAAACAGGUUAAUAUUCCUGUACUUGGUGUUACUGCGAAGGGGGGACGGAGAAGGCUAUGUUGGCCGGGCGACGGUUGUCCCGGUUUAAGCGUGUAGGCUGGUUUUCCAGGCAAAUCCGGAAAAUCAAGGCUGAGGCGUGAUGACGAGGCACUACGGUGCUGAAGCAACAAAUGCCCUGCUUCCAGGAAAAGCCUCUAAGCAUCAGGUAACAUCAAAUCGUACCCCAAACCGACACAGGUGGUCAGGUAGAGAAUACCAAGGCGCUUGAGAGAACUCGGGUGAAGGAACUAGGCAAAAUGGUGCCGUAACUUCGGGAGAAGG
rnacentral:rRNA from 1 species